UACGGGGGGGGCAAGCGUUGUUCGGAAUUACUGGGCGUAAAGGGCUCGUAGGCGGCCAACUAAGUCGGACGUGAAAUCCCCAGGCUCAACCUGGGAACUGCGUCCGAUACUGGAUGGCUUGAAUCCGGGAGAGGGAUGCAGAAUUCCAGGUGUAGCGGUGAAAUGCGUAGAUAUCAGGAAGAACACCCGUGGCGAAGGCGGUUCUCUGGGACGGUACUGACGCUGAGACGCGAAAGCGUGGGGAGCGAACAGG
rnacentral:rRNA from 1 species